UUCUUGCUCGAGCUGCUUCUUAGCUGUUGAGAGAAGGCGUAUGCAAGAGCCCUUUCUCUUCUGGUUGUCGCUUCUAGUUUGUUCUGGAUUCUUAGCUUGGACAUGUUACUACUUAGUGUGCUGUCAUCCCACUCCUUUACAUGUGAUAAUAUCUGGGUUUUCUGUAGCUUGUUAUGACGGGUUUUGUGUUGAAACGUGAGAGCUUUAACAGGAGAAUCAUCUCCUUCUUCUGCUGCAUGGAUUUUUGGAGAAGCAGGCAUGGAUUCUGUCCCAGUACUUGAUCUUCUUCCUCCAGGAGACAUCAUCUGUGUCGACCCAACCAGCAGUUUGCAUCGAUUUCUCGUCUGUUGACCAGUCAUUUAAAAUGUUGGUAUUUAAAACAAAAAUGAAUUUGAAAAGUUUGAGGUAAAACCAGAAAUCCUCUAAAUGCAGAUUGGAUGGCAAUUGCCGCUGCUUUUUCAUCUGAAUUCUGGAUUGAGGCGGCGGUGGUGUCUUGAUGAAAUUCUUCAGUCACUAUCUCAGAUGCGUCGACGACUGUGAGUGAAUUCCUACCAUCUACAUCCUCCUCUCCUUGAGUCUGUACUGAACAACCAAUCCCACAAACUUCUUCUUCUCCUUCAUCUUCUUCUUGGAGAGCUGAAUCAGGAUAAUCUCCACAGAAAGUAAGCUUCCUUAGCUUCCAUGUACCUUUAUCAAUACAAUUCACAUUUCUUUCCUGCAGAAACAAGAACAAAGCAGAUUAGAAGAUUGUAAAUUAAUCAGAAAUUGGAC
rnacentral:lncRNA from 1 species